rnacentral:rRNA from 1 species
CCCCGUGCAACUUUUAAAGUCAACUUGUUUAGGAGUUUCAGAUUUUUAGGUGGGGCGCCUAUUAAGUAAUAUUAACCUUAGUGUACGAUAAAACUUUCAAGUAUAGACCCGACAAUGUCGAUCAUAGGAGAAGUUACGCCGGGGAUAACAGGCUAAUCCACUAGUAGAGAACGUAUUGGCUAGUGGGAUUGCCACCUCGAUGUU